CCAGAAUGUCUAAAGCUACUUACUUAACCAUUUUCAAAGUAAGAUUCACUAUUGAAUUUAAAAAAAUGGACUCAAACAAACAAAAAGAAAGUUAAAAACACCUAGACUUCUAAUUUUCGGACUUCUAAUUUUCGGACUUCUAAUGGAACAAAAGCCUAGAACGUGGGAAUAAGAAAAUAAAACAAAAGAAAUCCUAGGUGAGGCUUGUAGCUUUUGGCUAACAAGACACACUCACCAUCUACUAGCAAUGCAAGUAAAGAAAAAUGCCAAGGUUGGAGUGAGCACCAAGGACUCUUCCAAACACACUUGGUCUAAAUGGCCUUUUACAAGAAAUCAAAUGAAAACUAAAAUGGAAACUGAUUACAAGUUCAAAACUCAAAACUCAAAUAGGCUCAAGCAAAACUACUCUCCUGCUCCAUUUGUGCACUGAUUUAAAACUUGUUUCUGUUGNUCUCUUGGUACUUUAGCCCUUCAAUCCUUGCUCAAAGAGGUUUCAAGCUUCUAAAACAGUAUUGGCUACUGCAGAGUAUUGAUUCUGUUGUUUAGCUUNUGGGACAGCUUGUAUGCUNCAGUUGUGAUGCAAUUAGAAAGAAGGCUUGAUNAUUUGCACGUUCACUUUAUCAAGGAUCAUAUGAAACUGCUACAGUAGAUUAUAAAACUCGUUCCAAAUCAAAUCUGCACAGCUGCAAAAUACCAUAAUCCAAUAGAUACAACAAGGCUAGCACGUGAAUUUUCAAUUCAGCAAAAAUGAGUAUAUGAGCCUAAGUGCAGCAACUCAUGUUCUAAAAUUGAAUUUGUUGUUGUCUUACUGGUGCAUAAAACUUUAAUGUAUCAGCUUUCAAAANCAAAUUUUGCACAAGCAACAAGAUCACCAAUUCAAUAGUGUCAAACAACAUGUAAUACAAAGAGUAUUUGCCUAAUUAGUCACAAUUAAUGAACCAAACUGGACAAAACAGAUUGCAGACUAUCCAAAACCAUAUAACUAAAAGGCUUAAGAAAUCUUAAAUGGUCACAUGUGGUUAGUUCCAAUUCUCCAUUUGAUCAACAUUUACCCCUGUGAAUGUCAAUGGAAUCAAAGCCUGCACAAAUAUAAGUAAUUAGAACAAUUCAGACUUAGGAAAGAACUUUUUCAGCAAUGGAAAUUUAAUGUAAAGUUUCUCUCGGCCAAAGCUAAUUGGCUUCAUGUGCAUUCACUCAAAUCUCACUUCCCGUACUAUUUCAGAGUGCUAUAGCAAGUUUCUUUUAGAUUUUAAACACUCAAUCUCUCAUUCACUUUGGUAUGGAACUGCUCUCUCUCAAAAUUUGGCUAUAGAAGUUGCCAAUUUUCACACUUUUUCACUCUGCAGAAUGAUGUUUUUAUAAGGCUGUUUUUCCUUGCUAUGGAGGCACUUGGAUCAAGAGCUAUAUGAGUUUCCACCCCUCAAGAUGCUACCACUAGCAUGAGCCAUCAUCCCAGCACAAAAUCUGCACCCAUAAGCAUCUAAGUAGCACCAAACAGAAUUAACAAACUGCAGCAGAAUUUCAAACCAGAUUUUUGAAUGUUUGACAAUUUGGAGGCCAAAAAAUAAGGAACUCAAAGGAAAACAGGGAUGGAAUAACAACAAGCACUCAAAAGGAACCUAUCAAAGGAACUAGAACAGAUUAAGAAAGCAAUAAAACGAAAAUGGCAGAUCACAAACUCAUCCAGACCAAACUGUUUGAUAUUUUGCAAAAGUGCUUGUUAAAAUGCCCCAAUGAAAUUCAGA
rnacentral:lncRNA from 1 species